CAUAUUCUCAAGUAAGUUUAUAUUUCCAGAUUUCCAGAGAAGUAAACAUUCUCCAAAGGUACUCUAACGAGCAGAUCCAUAGCAGAGUAGACCAAAUGGGUUUUUAUCUGCUCUACAUGCUGUCAGGCAGCCAAGAUUUAUCUCUUUACCUAGGAAAAUGGAAAAAUCAAUGUAAAAGAAGGAACAGGUUAAGUUUUAAGAGUAAAAAACCAAAGCUUUUCUCAUGUGUCCAUAAUUUGAUGCCAUUUUUCACAGAGGGUUUGUCCAUUCUGUCAGCAUCAGAGGAGCUGGUAAGUGCAGAAUUGGAAUGUGAAAAAUGUCAAGUGUGAUACAAGAACCCUUAAUGUAAGAGAAUCACAGAAUCACAGAGUGAACUGGGUUGGAAAAGAGCUUUGAGAUCAUCAAGUCUGACCUAUGACCUAAGACCUCAUCAACUAAACCCUGGCACUGAGUGCCAUGUCCAAGCUCUUUCUAAACUGUUCUGUUUGGAAAUAAACUUUUAAAACUUUUGACCUGUGAGUGAAACACUGGAAUUACGGAGCUGACUGAAAAAAAUUCCAAAUUUAGAAAUAAAAGCUGUUUUCUGGGUUUAAACCCACUUAUUGCUCUGAUAUGGAACAUUUUCAAGUUAUCUUUGCAGUCACAGGCGACAGAAUACUUUUGCCAAUGCUGAGACAUGGAAGCAAUGCAUGAUGCUGUCCUGGAUGCUCCUGGGAGUUGUGGCAGUAUGGGUUUGUUUAUAUUUACAAAUUAGUUGGACUUGUUCUUGGCACUUGUUUGGAUUUAGCUUAAGAAUAAUCCAUAUUGUCCAAAUAUCUUCCUAAUAAUAAAAACCCACAGUCGCUAUCAGAGCUGAAUUCCAAUAUUUCACUGCAAAGUAGCUGGAGAAGUAGCUAUUGCCUUAAAUAAAAAUCACAUUUUCCCAAA